GUCUAUGGCCAUGCCAACCUGAACGUGCCCGAUCUCUCCUAAUCUUGGAAGCUAAGUAAGGUUGAGCCUGGUUAGUACUUCGAUGGGAGACCACCUAGGAAGACCAGGUGCUGUAGGCA
rnacentral:rRNA from 1 species